GAGGAUGCAGCAACAAGGUGUCAUCUUGGAAGCAGGGAUCAGCCCUCACCAGAAAACCAAAUCUGCCACCACCUUGAACUUAGACUUCCCAGCCUUGAGAACUGACACUACAUUGGGAAGGAUUCAUCAUCAUGACCAGAUGUCACAUGGGUCUAUGAUGCCAAAAAAGGAAGAUCCCUGGAGAACAGUAGGUGCUCCUAUUUGGCCAUUCUGUGUUCCAUCUCCCUCUCUUCUCCCCCCAACAGAGGGAGAGCUCUUGUGUUCCAUCUUGACAUGAGGACAUGUGUGUGUUGGCAGGAGAGGGUCCUGUGAUGAUGUCUGGCUAUCCAGGAGCUACUAUGGCAAU
rnacentral:lncRNA from 10 species